UUAAGCGACUAAGCGUACACGGUGGAUGCCCUGGCAGUCAGAGGCGAUGAAGGACGUGCUAAUCUGCGAAAAGCGUCGGUAAGGUGAUAUGAACCGUUAUAACCGGCGAUGUCCGAAUGGGGAAACCCAGUGCAAUUCGUUGCACUAUCGUUAACUGAAUACAUAGGUUAACGAGGCGAACCGGGGGAACUGAAACAUCUAAGUACCCCGAGGAAAAGAAAUCAACCGAGAUUCCCCCAGUAGCGGCGAGCGAACGGGGAGCAGCCCAGAGUCUGAAUCAGCUUGUGUGUUAGUGGAACGGUCUGGAAAGUCCGACGGUACAGGGUGAUAGUCCCGUACACCAAAAUGCACAGGCUGUGAACUCGAAGAGUAGGGCGGGACACGUGGUAUCCUGUCUGAAUAUGGGGGGACCAUCCUCCAAGGCUAAAUACUCCUGACUGACCGAUAGUGAACCAGUACCGUGAGGGAAAGGCGAAAAGAACCCCGGCGAGGGGAGUGAAAAAGAACCUGAAACCGUGUACGUACAAGCAGUGGGAGCACCUUCGGGUGUGACUGCGUACCUUUUGUAUAAUGGGUCAGCGACUUAUAUUCUGUAGCAAGGUUAACCGUAUAGGGGAGCCGCAGGGAAACCGAGUCUUAACUGGGCGUUAAGUUGCAGGGUAUAGACCCGAAACCCGGUGAUCUAGCCAUGGGCAGGUUGAAGGUUGGGUAACACUAACUGGAGGACCGAACCGACUAAUGUUGAAAAAUUAGCGGAUGACUUGUGGCUGGGGGUGAAAGGCCAAUCAAACCGGGAGAUAGCUGGUUCUCCCCGAAAGCUAUUUAGGUAGCGCCUCGUGAAUUCAUCUUCGGGGGUAGAGCACUGUUUCGGCUAGGGGGUCAUCCCGACUUACCAACCCGAUGCAAACUACGAAUACCGAAGAAUGUUAUCACGGGAGACACACGGCGGGUGCUAACGUCCGUCGUGAAGAGGGAAACAACCCAGACCGCCAGCUAAGGUCCCAAAGUCAUGGUUAAGUGGGAAACGAUGUGGGAAGGCACAGACAGCCAGGAUGUUGGCUUAGAAGCAGCCAUCAUUUAAAGAAAGCGUAAUAGCUCACUGGUCGAGUCGGCCUGCGCGGAAGAUGUAACGGGGCUAAACCAUGCACCGAAGCUGCGGCAGCGACACUAUGUGUUGUUGGGUAGGGGAGCGUUCUGUAAGCCUGCGAAGGUGACCUGUGAGGGUUGCUGGAGGUAUCAGAAGUGCGAAUGCUGACAUAAGUAACGAUAAAGCGGGUGAAAAGCCCGCUCGCCGGAAGACCAAGGGUUCCUGUCCAACGUUAAUCGGGGCAGGGUGAGUCGACCCCUAAGGCGAGGCCGAAAGGCGUAGUCGAUGGGAAACAGGUUAAUAUUCCUGUACUUGGUGUUACUGCGAAGGGGGGACGGAGAAGGCUAUGUUAGCCGGGCGACGGUUGUCCCGGUUUAAGCAUGUAGGCUGGUUGUCCAGGCAAAUCCGGAUAAUCAAGGCUGAGGUGUGAUGACGAGGCACUACGGUGCUGAAGUAACAAAUGCCCUGCUUCCAGGAAAAGCCUCUAAGCAUCAGGUAACAUUAAAUCGUACCCCAAACCGACACAGGUGGUCAGGUAGAGAAUACCAAGGCGCUUGAGAGAACUCGGGUGAAGGAACUAGGCAAAAUGGUGCCGUAACUUCGGGAGAAGGCACGCUGGUGUGUAGGUGAAGUCCCUGCGGAUGGAGCUGAGACCAGUCGAAGAUACCAGCUGGCUGCAACUGUUUAUUAAAAACACAGCACUGUGCAAACACGAAAGUGGACGUAUACGGUGUGACGCCUGCCCGGUGCCGGAAGGUUAAUUGAUGGGGUUAUCCGUAAGGAGAAGCUCUUGAUCGAAGCCCCGGUAAACGGCGGCCGUAACUAUAACGGUCCUAAGGUAGCGAAAUUCCUUGUCGGGUAAGUUCCGACCUGCACGAAUGGCGUAAUGAUGGCCAGGCUGUCUCCACCCGAGACUCAGUGAAAUUGAACUCGCUGUGAAGAUGCAGUGUACCCGCGGCAAGACGGAAAGACCCCGUGAACCUUUACUAUAGCUUGACACUGAACAUUGAGCCUUGAUGUGUAGGAUAGGUGGGAGGCUUUGAAGCGUGGACGCCAGUCUGCGUGGAGCCAACCUUGAAAUACCACCCUUUAAUGUUUGAUGUUCUAACGUUGGCCCCUGACCGGGGUUGCGGACAGUGUCUGGUGGGUAGUUUGACUGGGGCGGUCUCCUCCCAAAGCGUAACGGAGGAGCACGAAGGUUAGCUAAUCCUGGUCGGACAUCAGGAGGUUAGUGCAAUGGCAUAAGCUAGCUUGACUGCGAGCGUGACGGCGCGAGCAGGUGCGAAAGCAGGUCAUAGUGAUCCGGUGGUUCUGAAUGGAAGGGCCAUCGCUCAACGGAUAAAAGGUACUCCGGGGAUAACAGGCUGAUACCGCCCAAGAGUUCAUAUCGACGGCGGUGUUUGGCACCUCGAUGUCGGCUCAUCACAUCCUGGGGCUGAAGUAGGUCCCAAGGGUAUGGCUGUUCGCCAUUUAAAGUGGUACGCGAGCUGGGUUUAGAACGUCGUGAGACAGUUCGGUCCCUAUCUGCCGUGGGCGCUGGAGAAUUGAGGGGGGCUGCUCCUAGUACGAGAGGACCGGAGUGGACGCAUCACUGGUGUUCGGGUUGUCAUGCCAAUGGCACUGCCCGGUAGCUAAAUGCGGAAGAGAUAAGUGCUGAAAGCAUCUAAGCACGAAACUUUCCCCGAGAUGAGUUCUCCCUGAGACUUUAAGUCUCCUGAAGGAACGUUAAAGACGAUGACGUUGAUAGGCCGGGUGUGUAAGCGCAGCGAUGCGUUGAGCUAACCGGUACUAAUGAACCGUGAGGCUUAACCUU
rnacentral:rRNA from 1 species